rnacentral:lncRNA from 10 species
UAGAGAGUGAGUUGAGUAUAGUUUGUGAUUUUGAGGGCCUCUAAAAGUAUUAAAGCAGCGGCAGCCACUGCACGCAGACAUGAGGACUAGGCUAAAACAGUAAGGUCAAGUUGUUUGGACAGAAAGGCUACAGGGUGUGGUCCUGGCUCUUGUGUAAGAAUUCUGACCACGCUAACCAUGCCUAGGAAGGAAAGGAGUUGUUGUUUUGUAGAAGGUGCUGGGGUUUGAGAGAUCAGUCGGACACGAUUGGCAGGGAGAGCACGUGUGUUUUUAUGAGAAUUAUGCCGAGAUAGGUAACAGAUGAGGAAGAAAUUUGGGCUUGACUGAGGUAAUGGGGGCUGUCUGUGAAGCUUUGCGGCAGUACAGCCCAGGUAAUUUGCUGAGCUUGAUGGGUGUCAGGGUCAGUCCAAGUGAAAGUGAAGAGAGGCUGGGAUUAAGGGUGCAAAGGAAUAGUAAAGAAAGCAUGUUUGAGAUCCAGAACAGAAUAAUGGGUUGUAGAGGCAGGUAGUGAGGAUAGGAGAGUAUACGGGUUUGGCACCACAGGGUGGAUAGGCAAAACAAUUUGACUGAUAAGGCACAGAUCCUGAACUAACCUGUAAGGCUUGUCUGGUUUUAGGACGGGUGAAAUGGGGGAAUUGUAAGGAGAGUUUAUAGGUUUUAGAAGCCUAUGCUGUAGCAGGCGAGUGAUAACAGGCUUUAAUCCUUUUAAAGCAUGCUGUGGGAUGGGAUCUUGGCAUUGCGCGGGGUAAGGGUGAUUAGGUUUUAAUGGGAUGGUAAGGGGUGCAUGAUCGGUCACUAAGGAGGGAGUAGUAGUAGUCUUAUACUUGUGAGUCUUAUACUUGUCUUAUACUUGUGAGUUAAGGUGGGGAGAUAUAAGGGGAGGAUGUGAAGGAGGCUUUGAACUGGGGGAAAAGGUGGCAGUGAGGUGCAGCUGUAGCCUAGAAUAGUCAGGGAAGCAGAUAAUUUAGUUAAAGUGUCUCAGCCUAAUAAGGGAACUGGGCAGGUGGGGAUAACUAAAAGGGAGUGCUUAAAAGAGUAAUGUCUAAAUUGGCACCAGAGUUGGGGAGUUUUAAGAGGUUUAGAAGCCUGGCCGUCAAUACCCACAGCAGUUAUGGAGGCAAGGGAAACAGGCCCUUGAAAAGAAGGUAAUGUGGAGUGGGUAGCCUCCGUAUUGAUUAAGAAGGGGACGGACUUACCCUCCACUGUGAGAGUUAUCCAGAGCAUCUGUGAUGGUUCUGUUGGCUUCUGAGGCGAUUGGGCGGUGUCAGUCUUCUGCUGCUAAGCCGAGAAGAUCUGGGAAGGAGUCAGUCAGAGAGCCUUGGGCCAGAGUCCCAGCGACUCUGGCAGUGGCUGCCAGGAAAGGCCCUGUGAGGACAAAGCAGCUGUGUGCAAACCAGGAACAGAGCUUCCCAGAAGCCAAAUCCUGCUGGACCUUGAUCUUG